AGUGAACGCUGGCGGUAGGCCUAACACAUGCGAGUCGAACGGCAGCACAGUAAGAGCUUGCUCUUACGGGUGGCGAGUGGCGGACGGGUGAGGAAUACAUCGGAAUCUACUUUUUCGUGGGGGAUAACGUAGGGAAACUUACGCUAAUACCGCAUACGACCUACGGGUGAAAGCAGGGGAUCUUCGGACCUUGCGCGAUUGAAUGAGCCGAUGUCGGAUUAGCUAGUUGGCGGGGUAAAGGCUCACCAAGGCGACGAUCCGUAGCUGGUCUGAGAGGAUGAUCAGCCACACUGGAACUGAGACACGGUCCAGACUCCUACGGGAGGCAGCAGUGGGGAAUAUUGGACAAUGGGCGCAAGCCUGAUCCAGCCAUACCGCGUGGGUGAAGAAGGCCUUCGGGUUGUAAAGCCCUUUUGUUGGGAAAGAAAAGCAGCAGGUUAAUACCCCGCCGUUCUGACGGUACCCAAAGAAUAAGCACCGGCUAACUUCGUG
rnacentral:rRNA from 1 species